rnacentral:rRNA from 1 species
GCCAGCCCGCUACAGAAACUCAAAGGAAUUGACGGGGCCCGCACAAGCGGUGGAGUAUGUGGUUUAAUUCGAUGCAACGCGAAGAACCUUACCUGGUCUUGACAUCCCGGAGACCCUUAGGAAACUAGGGGUGCUUCCAUCUGGAAGAAUCUGGAGACAGGUGCUGCAUGGCUGUCGUCAGCUCGUGUCGUGAGAUGUUGGGUUAAGUCCCGCAACGAGCGCAACCCUUGCCUUUAGUUGCCAGCAGUUCGGCUGGGCACUCUAAAGGGACUGCCGGUGUUAAACCGGAGGAAGGUGGGGAUGACGUCAAGUCCUCAUGGCCUUUAUGACCAGGGCUACACACGUACUACAAUGGCCGAUACAAAGGGCAGCGACACUGCGAAGUGAAGCCAAUCCCGUAAAAUCGGUCUCAGUCCGGAUUGGAGUCUGCAACUCGACUCCAUGAAGUUGGAAUCGCUAGUAAUCGUGGAUCAGCAUGCCACGGUGAAUACGUUCCCGGGCCUU